UGGUCCGGAAGGGCAGAGGAAGAGCCCAGACCACUGCUCUCGUGGGGGAUAACGGCGAAGGAGGAGGCAGAGAUGUGGCAGGUCCUGGAGGACCUGCGUAGGGACAGCGUGGAGGAAGAGCCUUGGGUGGCAGAGGUGCGCACGGUAUCGCCAGUGCGCCUGCACAGCCCAGUGCGCUCUGUGCCAGCGCCCCACAUUUGCCGGGCUAGGGGGAGUGUUCAGCGAGGACGUGUUGUGCCGGCUCAGCGCUCCUGGCCUCCAGUGCCCCUUCUCGGUCCGAUGUAUCCUGCGCCGAGGACGCGCACUGUGUCUCCGGUACGGCUACACAGCCCAGUGCGUUCUGUGCCAGCGCUCCACACUUGCCAGGCUAAGGUGGGUGUUGAGCCAGAACGGGUGAUGUCAGCUGUGCACUCCAGACCUCCAGUGCGCCUCCUCGGUCCAGGAUAUCCGGCGCCGCUUAUGCGCACUGUGUCGCCGGUGUGCGGCCCCAGUCCAGUCCGGACCGUCCCUGCUCCCCGCACCAAGCCAGUGGUGUGUGCCCCCAGUCCAGUCCGGCCCGUCCCUGCUCCCCGCACCAGGUUAGUGGUGCGUGUCCACAGUCCUGUCCGGCCCAUCCCUGCUCCCCGCACCAGGUUAGUGGUGCGUGUCCCCAGUCCUGUCCGGCCCGUCCCUGCUCCCCGCACCAGGUUAGUGGUGCGUGUCCACAGUCCUGUCCGGCCCAUCCCG
rnacentral:lncRNA from 1 species